rnacentral:lncRNA from 1 species
UGUCACCAAGGCGGUAGUGCAGUGGCGUGAUCUCGGCUCACUGCUGAUACGGCUCCCAUGAGUGGAGGGACACCAGGGCUCUUGUCUUACCUUGAAUUAGGUAAAACAACACUGACACACGUGGAGUGGUUUUAAAGAGCGGAGAGUUUAAUAGGCAAGAAAGAAGGCAGAACUUAGAGGCUUCCCCUUACAGAGACAGAGGGAGGGGGGCUCCAAAGCCGAAAGAGGAGGGCCCCAAGUGUGGUGGACGCCAGCCAGGUAUACAUGCAGAGGCCGGAGGAGGCGAUCUGAUUUGCACAGGGCUUAGCGGAUUGGUUUGACCAGGCAUGUUUUAUUCACGUAGCAGGGAAAAAGCUGGCCCUCCCUUCCUAGCCUUUUAAUAUGCAAAUGCAGGGCGCUGUGACGUUCUACGCAUGUGGGGAUAUGUGGCGGACGUUGCCAGGAACAUGUGGGGCAAGGGCAAGAAGGCAGCAGUAACCGCCAUGUUUGGGAAAAGCUCCAGAAACUCCCCUAGCAAGGCUGGAUCUCUCCAAGCUUCAGAAAGAGGAAGACAACUGAACAGGCAGGGCUCGCAUCUUCUUUAGAGGCGGUGGAGUUGGGGGACAGCUGGUAACAGGAUAGAUAGCAACAACCACCUUGAAGAUAAUGCACGAAGUGUCGGCACUGCACAGUACAUGAAUGAUCUCACUUAACUCCCGUGCAAACCCUAUGCCAUGGCUGCUAUUAUCAUUCACGUUUACAGGAUGAGGAAACUAAUGCUCAUGCAGGGAGCCUGGCCCUUGGACAGCCACCAUACUCUGCAGAAGCCCAGGCUGCGUGGAGAGGCUGACGCUGGUGUCUGGCCAACUGUCCCUGCUGGGCCUUCAGCCUGUAGUCAGCAUCAACAGUCAGGCGUGUGAGUGAAUGAGUCUUCAGAUAAUGCCAGCCCCAGCCUUUGCUUCUUCCAGCCAUGACCCCAGACAUAGUGGAGCAAGGACAAGCCAUCCUCACUGUGAUGUGCCCUGUCUGAAUUUAUGAGCCAUGGAAACUGUGAGAGGUAAAUUAUUAUUGUUUUAAGCUACUAAGUGUUGAGGCAAUUUGUUAGGCAGCAAAUAGACAACUAAUACAAAGCCAUUUCCAACCUCUUGAGUGAAUGACUGGAGCACAGUUUUCUCAUUUAUUGACUAUUCUGCUAGAUGGAAAGCAAAUUAUAGACUCCUGUCCAAUGCUUGACAUUCCUGGGCCUAGGACCCUGCUUGUCUACACCCACUAAGACCUGGAGUAUCAGGGACCUGCCUUGGUUUCAAUGGAGGCUUGCCUGGACCCUUCAGAUCGGAGCUCCAUUUGUCAUCCUGCUUCUUUCUGGCUGCUAGAGUUGCUUCUCUUCUUCCUCAGCUCCCUGGUACUCAUGGUAGAUGGUGACUGAGCAGAACAAUGGGAGCCGAUACCUUGGUUUAUUCAUCUCUGCUGCAUACCAUUUGCUAUGGUCUGAAUGUUAGUGUCUACCUACAAAUGUAUUUGUUGAAAUCCUAACACCCCAGAUGAUGGUAUUAGGAGGUGGGGCCAUUGGGAGGUGAUUAGGUCAUGAGCCUUCAUGAAUGAGAUUGAUGCCCUUACAAAAGAGACCCAGGGGAGCUCUUUCACCCCUUCUGCCAUGUGAGGACACAGUGAGAACACCAUCUGCAACCCAGAAGAAGCUCUCGCCAGAAUCUGACCAUGCUGGCACCCUGAUCUCAGGCUUCCCAGCCUUCAGAAUUGUGAGAAAUAAAUUCCUGCUAUUUGUAAGCCAUCCAGUUUAUGGUAUUUUGUUAUAGCAGCAUGAACUGGCUAAGACUCCAUUGCAGCAGGAACUCAGUGAGGGCAUGUGUGGACCUCCAAGCCUUGCUUGUAGGUCCCAGGCAGAAAGCACCCUGCAAUAGUUACAGGAGAUGUCAAUGUUCCCCAAGUCCCUGCUGUAAGGUUAUGAAUUCAGCAUAUCAGCCCCAAUUGCUAUCUAUGCUGCCAUAUGCUCCUUUGAGAGUGGUGAAGGAGACCUGCCCAGAAAUGCUCUCCCACGUGGCUCUGGGACUGCCAGCUCCCCUUUGGGUGGGACCUUGCAGAUGCUCAUGUGGGCAGCAGCAUCUCUGCUCUGGAGCCUGUUCAGCCUUGUGUUAUUUCUGGGGCAUGUUCUAACCCUUUCCCAAACAUGUUCUCUGUUCCCUAGCACAGGACUCGCUGCUAGUCCUUCUAAUUUCCAGCGGAAAGCAGUCUGUUUUGACGCUUCCCAGGUGUUCAGUCCCAUAGGAGCAGCUGAGUCCUCAAGGCAGCAGCCGGUAGGCAGGCAGUUUGCCGUCCUUGAACCAGCCUGACCAUCUGACUGUGCUACUGCAAGGGAGUGUUAGAGACUUUCUCAAUUUGGUGACUCAUACUCAUCCUCCACUUGGAACAUCCAGUUCUGAACCUUGCCGUCUCCCAGAAAUUGUCAUUCUAGCCUCAGCCUCAUCUCUACAAUGUCCUUUUGGCUUCCCAGUGAUGUUCCAGGAAACUUGUUCAUGCCGGGUCAUCUGUCUCCCGUUUCAGGCAGCCAGCAUGGAAAUGGAAUUUUGGCUCCCAUCCAGGGGGAUGAUUUUAAUUCAGGAUGCAACUGGGCGCUGCCCUUUGACUUCAAAGCCACCCACGUGGUACAGAUAUAGAGUGGUAUAAGGAUUAAUGAAAUACGGUGUAUCGUUCUACUUCAUUUAAUGGCUGCAUCAUGUACCAUGUAUGUACCAUAAUUUGUUUAACUAAUCCCCUAUUGAAGAACAUUAAGGUAAUUAUUAUUGUUAUUAGAUGAGCAGCUGAACCUUGGAAACACACUCUUAAAUGCUUUCCUUCUGAGGAAAAUGAAGGAGCUGGCUGUUUCUUAUCAAGAGGAUCAUGCCCCUUGGAGAUGAUUAUGCCCCAGCCUGAGACACGCUGAUAUCCUCACAGGCUGUUCCCAAUGGGAGGGGGCCACUCAGGGGCACUGGGGUGGGAAAAGAUUGGCUGUCGCCACACCCUUUAAGGAAUGGAUUUUCCAACCAAGGACAGUGAAGGGCAAGCCUCUAAAAUGUCCACUAAUGAAAGAGUAACUACAAUGUUCUUGUAUGCUGCUCUGAUUAUCAUCAUCCCCAGAGCCUUCCUGUACCCUGCCAUGGACUGUGUCUUCCUGGAAGUGCUUGUGGUUUGAUGUUGCCUCCUUGCAGAUGUUCAGAAAGGACUGCUUGCUGGAAAGGAGAGAAGCUGAGAGAUGACCACAUUCCUCCUGGAUUAAUAUGGGCUCCGGUGGCUCCUCCCUGUGAUGUGCCGUGCUCCGUGCCUUGGGACCUUACUAUGUCAUCAAAGGCAGCCACAUUUAUGCAGACAUAAGGGAAGCCAGAAUCUACAAGAACCGUCCCUCCAGGAGGGAAACACUCCACUGAACAGUGUCAAAUGGACCUCUUCAGAACCUGGACUCGAUGGGGGACCACAGAGAGACAGCCAUGGAAGCAGAGGGCAGCUGCCAGCAACUAUUGCUGCCAUGUGCCAAACACGGUUCUUAACAUCUCACGCCUCAACUCUCUUUAAUCUCAUAACAACCCUAUGAGGUAGGUGCUGUUGUCCCCAUUUUGCAGAUGAAGAGGCUGAGGCACAGGAAGAUUAGACACCCAUCCCAAAGCAAGAACCCGAUGGUGCUGGAUGUGAACCCAGGCACUGUGACUCAGGCUCCUACCACUGCACUGAGUGUCUUUCAAUGUAGUUGAAGUAGAGGUGGUCACAGCAGAGAGCAGUCAAGAGGAGACAGAAACUGAGAGAUGGAUACAGAGCUUUGUGAUCAGCAGGGGACUAAGGACAUCCAUUUCUGAGGGGACAACAAAGUGACCAGGCCACCAUAAUAACCCUGAAGGACAAGAAUUUUGUUCCUGUGCACCGGUGGGUAGUGGGACAUCUGAAUGGAUGGCUUCCCAAGCUCUGCAGCCUCAGGUAACAGGAGCCAGUCUUUGUUUCCUGUGGCUUGGAAGAGCCUAACUUGUUUUAUUGUUAAUUGUGCAGAUAAUCAUUGAGUUAAAUGGUCACAGAGAAAGAAAAAAAAAGGGAUGCCCAGGCGUGGUGGCUCACGCCUAUAAUCCCAGCACUUUG